GGGGAAUAUUGCGCAAUGGACGUAAGUCUGACGCAGCAAUGCCGCGUGGAUGAAGACGGCCUUCGGGUUGUAAAAUCCUUUUAGCAGGGAAGAAAAAAAUGACGGUACCUGCAGAAAAAGUCACGGCAAACUACGUGCCAGCAGCCGCGGUAAGACGUAGGUGGCAAGCGUUAUCCGGAAUUACUUGGGUGUAAAGGGCGUGUAGGUGGUUUUGUAAGUCCUAGGUUAAAGAUCUAAGCUCAACUUAGAAAGAGCCUGGGAAACUACAUGACUAGAGUACGGGAGAGGAAGGUGGAAUUACCAGUGUAGCGGUGAAAUGCGUAGAUAUUGGUAGGAACGCCCAUGACGAAGGUAGCCUUCUGGACCGAUACUGACACUGAGGCGCGAAAGCUAGGGGAGCAAAC
rnacentral:rRNA from 1 species